rnacentral:snRNA from 1 species
UGGUAUGAGGGCAAUCGUGGUAUGAUAUCUGCCAUUCCAUUGACUGCCAAUUCUGUUUCAACUGAUCUGAUUGGCUAAACAGAGAUCCCUUCUCUCCCUCACACCUCCAUAUGUAUUCCUUCUGUAGCUGUAUGCUCAUUGGAAGAAUACAGCUAUGAUCUAUAGAAGGUGACCAUUCUUUGGUCAAGGGUACAUAAUAGUGGUACUUUCCUGCUAGAUCCUCCAACAACAUCUGAAGAACCACAUAAUCUUCCCUUUUCUGUGGGGCUAAAGGACAUUACGUGGUAGCCAACAGAUCAAGAGUUUGAGACAAUUAUAUUUAUUUUGUCUAUAUGU